rnacentral:lncRNA from 1 species
AUGGGGGCUAUUUUGGGGUUUCCCUUCAACAGCCCGAGGAAGGGCAGCGCACUGUCGUGUUCAGGGGGGCUCAGCAUUCACACCGCUGGGGUUCACACCCCAGCAACCAUGCUCGCCAGCUGCUCUGUGGCCAUGGGCAAGUCUCUCACUGCGUCUGUGUCUCCCCCUCUAACCCCGAGGGACGACGGGCACUCAAGAGGGCAGCGAGAGCUCUCCCGCUGGCCUGCCUGUACCCCAACUCCGCCCCACGCCCGCGGGCCUGCGGGCUGGCACCUGCCGCCCCCGGGACGCCGCGGGGGACCCGCUCUGCUGGGGUCCGCGACUCCACAGGAGGCGGCCGGGAGGACGCUCUGGGAACCGGGUCCCCAACUCCGCGGGGUCGGCUCGCACUCCCGCCGCAGCCCAAGCCAGAAGCAGACGGGCGGGCAAACGACCGCGGUCAGCCAAUCUCCGGACCCGCCACGCCACGCCUCCGCUGCGAGGUUCCCGGCUAUUGGCUGCCUGCUCCGCGGGCCGCCUCCGAACCCCGCCUCUCCGAAUCUUCCCGAGGAUUGGCUGCGGGACCCAUGGUCCUCCGCCUACUCCGUCCCAGACUUCACCCGGAUUGGCAGAAGGUCCCGUGACCCGCCUCCUGCCCCGCCCCAGCCACCGCAAGGAUUGGCUGCCGGUGCCGCGGCCGUCUGCCCAGCUCUGCAGAGCUGCUUGCGGGUCUCCGCGCCCAGGGGGUCGUGGGUCUCUUUGUCUUGGGACGUGCGCGGCAGGGCGGGUCCGUGCGGCUGCGGCAGCCGGAGCCGGACCGACCUGGGUCCCGGGACUGCCCCUGCGGCGUCUGAGCACAGCAGUUAAAGGUGUCUGGACUAGAGGACUGGAUCCACAACUCUCAAAAGCCUUGGCUUCCAAACCAACUUAAGCCCCAUCCCAGAGGAUGGCUGCAACACCUCCGAAGAGAACGGUGAUUGCUCCUGGCAGGUGACUGAGGGACUCCAGCUAUUCAGAAGGGAAAAGGACCCACUCACAGUUAACGUAAGCACACCUGGCUGGAAGUUGGUUCGCCACACUGUAGCUCAGUCACGGCACCACUGUGC